GGGGAUUUAGCUCAGUGGUAGAGCGCUUGCCUAGCAAGCACAAGGCCCUGGGUUCGGUCCCCAGCUCCU
rfam:Rattus norvegicus chromosome X, whole genome shotgun sequence.